UACGGAGGGACCAAGCGUUGUUCGGAUUUACUGGGCGUAAAGGGCGCGUAGGCGGCUUAACAAGUCACUUGUGAAAUCUCCGGGCUUAACUCGGAACGGCCAAGUGAAACUGUCAAGCUAGAGUGCAGAAGGGGCAAUCGGAAUUCUUGGUGUAGCGGUGAAAUGCGUAGAUAUCAAGAGGAACACCUGAGGUGAAGACGGGUUGCUGGGCUGACACUGACGCUGAGGCGCGAAAGCCAGGGGAGCAAACGGG
rnacentral:rRNA from 1 species